GCCUGGGUGGCUCAGUCAGUUAAGCACCUGACUCUUCAUCUCGGCUCAGGUCAUGAUCUAGUGGUUUCGUGAGUUCAAGCCCCGCCUCGGGCU
rnacentral:tRNA from 1 species